AGAAUCAACGCUGGCGGCGUGCCUAACACAUGCAAGUCGCACGAGAAAGUGGAGCAAUCCACGAGUAAAGUGGCGCACGGGUGAGUAACACGUGAAUAAUCUACCUCCGAGUGGGGAAUAACUGAGAGAAAUCUUAGCUAAUACCGCAUAAUACCCACGGGUCAAAGCAGCAAUGCGCUUGGAGAGGAGUUCGCGGCCGAUUAGCUAGUUGGCGGGGUAAUGGCCCACCAGGGCGAUGAUCGGUA
rnacentral:rRNA from 1 species